rnacentral:rRNA from 1 species
UACGUAGGGUGCGAGCGUUGUCCGGAAUUAUUGGGCGUAAAGGGCUCGUAGGCGGUUUGUCGCGUCGGGCGUGAAAUCCUCUGGCUUAACUGGGUGCUUGCUUUCGAUACGGGCAGACUAGAGGUAUGCAGGGGAGAACGGAAUUCCUGGUGUAGCGGUGAAAUGCGCAGAUAUCAGGAGGAACACCGGUGGCGAAGGCGGUUCUCUGGGCAUGAUCUGACGCUGAGGAGCGAAAGUGUGGGGAGCGAACGGG